AAAAGCAACAGGAUCGCAUCCAGGUUACAGUAUUGAAAUUAGAAUCUACCACUAUUAUUACACAACAUCUCUUACCAAAUCAGAUCAUCUUCGAUAAGAAGAAUCACUGUCAACUAUUCCAGCUUGCACCAACCUCAUCAACUUUCCUGAACACUCCUCGACCACUGGAUCCUCAUCUCUGUCACCUCGCCUAGCAUUAGCCUUACUCACAAUCUCAAUCAAUCAUCUCCUCUUUAAGCCUUUCUGAAAUGGUUAGAAAGGAAUAGCAAGGGUGAGCAACAAUGCUCAGCAAGUAAUAAUAAACAAUGAUAGUUCUGAAAUGAUAUAAUAGAAUUUCACGAGUUCAAGAUAUAAAAGGGUUCAACCUGAGUUCACGAGUUUAGGUAUUGUAUAAGAACACCACAAUACCUUGCAGCAAUUGAAUACUGAGGAAUUCAAUCUUUCCAAAAGAAUUAUUGAAUUGGACUAUCACAUUUUAAUUAAAACCAAGGUUAGGCAGCUGAUCAGUUCCGCACUAACCCCGAGCAGGCCCCGCCAUGCUCUAUCACUGGAUCCAAGGCACUCAUUGGCCUAACAUGACCACGAAUCUGGUCCACAGGUUUAUAUAAAAACAAUAAUCCAAUUCUCUAAUUCAAUUCAAGAAGCCAAUGUAAAUCAACAGAACAUCAUCAUAAUCAUCAUCAACAACUGAAUAAUUUCAAAUCAAACUUUGAUAAUAAACUUUUCAUAAGUCACAGUCCAUUCUUUCAUAAAUCAUCGUUCAGGAAAUCCCUAACUAUUCAAUAUCCUCCAUUAUCUGCUAAGCAACUGAAUUUAGCCUGCUAAACCAGCAUGACAAUGGCGGGUUGAAUAAUCAAGAAGAUCCCAAUUCAUUCAAAGCUCUAACUAUCACUGAGCAACACAUGCUUCAAUGACAAUCUGAACUUCGAAUUAAUUUGUAAAACGGAAAUUCUUUAGAAACCUGAAGAUUAGAAAGAAUGGUUCAGAAUACUCGCACUUUCGAACAUUGAAAAGAAAGGUAUGAAUACUUGAAACAUAUACCAAAGGAAUGGAUCAGAAUAUUUGCAAUAUAUCCAAGAGAAAGGUUUAGGAUACUUGCAACACAUCAAAAGAAUGAAUCAGAAUAUUUGCAAUAUAUCCAAAAGCAGGGUGCAGGAUACUUGCCUUAAAUCUGACUCCAGUCUCACAUCUCAAUCUCAUCUUUCCACUUUCACAAUCUAUGCAUCUCAUAGUCUCUAGACCAUCUCUGGCUAUACUCUAUCUACCGUACAUCUUCGCUUCGCUUACUCGAUUCAUCCCUUAUUCGCUUUGCAAUACCAUUCUGACUUUUUGACGUCUUCUAGCGUACACGUCUCCUCCAAAUCCUUUACGAGAAUAAGAUAAUACUAUAGUCACUAAACAAUAUAUCGCAUAGGUUCAUCCCUUAUUCGCUUUGCAAUACCAUUUCGACUUCCUGACGUCUUCGAGCGUACACGUCUCGUCCAAAUCCUUUACGAGAAUAAGAUAAUACUAUAGUCACUAAACAAUAUAUCGCAUAUACAUAUCACGUAUACCGAUACCCACUUAUAUACCCCUCUUUAAACUUAUCACAUAUCACUUAACACAUAAUCAUGCUUUGACUCUACCAAAUAGUCAAGUCAUAUUCCACAUAACAUAUUAUCAAUCAAUUAUCCUAUAAAUCUUAUCGAUAAUUUGACAGCGUCUCCUCUAUUUAUUAGAGUAUCCCCCUGUCAACAUAUUCCAAACAAUCAACUCCAGUCACUAUAAUCCAUAUAUUCUUAUCCAAUAUCAAUCAUACGAAUCAUUUAUCACUUCACAAUAUCAAAACUAACACGUACUUCACAUAAUCAUCACCUAAUAGCACUUAGAUCACAUAUUAUCACAUUAUGCAUACUUAUCAACAAUUAUUCACCUUAUAGACUCAGCCAUAUAGUCACAUCAUAUUAAAAUAGACGUUAUAAGCUUCUGUCUCUCUUUCGUUUCACUUGAUUCCGACUUACGGAUCAAAAGUUAUGCUCAAAACAGUUUUCUCACUCUCCUAUCGGCACAUAACACAUCCAACCAAUAGCAGACAACACACAACACAUAAGGUUUCCCAUCCCAAUUGAUAUUAAAUCAAGUCUUGGGUUAAAAAUGAUUUUUCGGGAAUUUUCCAGAAUUUUUAAACAUUUUUCGGAAUUAAAAUCGAUAAAAGAAUCACUUUUUGAAUAAAUAAUCAAGUCCGGAUGCUCAAAACUGGACUUGAAAUCAUUCAUAAACAAUUGUCGAGCCUUGAACAUAAUUUGGAAAAAUAUUUUAAAGCUCGAAACUAUUUUUCGGAAUUUUUAAAUCAAAAAGGAUUAAUUAAAUCCAAUUAAUUAAUCAAUUAAAAUCAAUUAAUAAUUAAUUAAAAUAAUUAAUCAAUUAAUAUUUAAAUUAAUUGACCAAUUAAAAUAAUUAAUUACUAAUUAAAAUUAAUUAACAAACUAAUUUAGAUUUAUUUUUGAAUAAAGAAAUAAUUAAAAACUAUUUUUGAAAUUUAAAAUAAUUAAAUAAAAACAUUUUUGAAAAUAUUUUGUAAAAGGUUUAAACUGUAAAAAUCUAAAAGUUUGCACUCGGGGUGCAAUGUGUCAAAUUCAAAAGUUUCAGGGUCGAAAACGUUUAAUAUGAAACUCGGGUACGAAGACUUCACCGUUUCCAAAAGUUGGGGGUACUAAACGGCACUUUUGCACCGCCUUCCCCCCGACUUCGCCGGAAACGGCGUCUUCCACCUCCGUUCUUUACCCAAAUCACCCAGAACUCAAGCUUAAGCCACCAGGAAGCUGAUGAACAGAUCAAUUUGCUCAAAAGCACGACCAUUUGGCCGUAUUUUCGAAACAAAAAUCACGCCGCCGCCAAGUUCUUCAACUCCGGCGAGGCUGCUACAAACCUCCUCCAUCAAAACCGAUCACACCAAUCGAUUCUACACAACCCACCGAACAUGUUCCAAUCAUCAAAACUCACCUAGACUUAACCGAACUCAGAAAUCGAAUUUUCAAUUAAAAGCUUCAAGAACAAACGAAGAACAUUCAAGCACAUACAAUCUCAGAAUCAACCUAACGUUUCAAUAUGAUUCCGAACUCCAAAUUCAACAAAUAAUAUACCAAAACGACGAGAAAAACACGCUCUACAACAUGGCAUCAUCAAAUCAAUCAAACAAGAUCAGUUACAAAAAUUUAUCAUUUAAAAAUCAAAUAAUUCGAAUUUUAUAAAAAUAAUCUAAAAUCACCUGUUGAAUCUGCACACAAACGGAUGAUUAAACUAGAUUCUACGCGUCGAUAGCUUCGUUUUGACUAUUCAUACGCCUCCAUCGGAUUCCAAUAACACCUCCAAAUCUUCGUUUGAUUAUGAAGAACACGAAGAACAUACUUCGGUUUCUCUCGGUAUUCGUGCAAAGAAACUGGUGAAAAUGAUUUUUUACGGUGAAAAUAAGUUACAAGAAAGUCUAUUUAUAUUUACAAAUAAUUGGUACCCCUUUGGAUCGUUUAUGACAUGAAAAUACGUAUUAAUAGCUUUAUAUUAAUAAAGCGGGGUCCAAUCGGUACUGGUUUUUGAGAUAAUCAUCA
rnacentral:lncRNA from 1 species